CUCCCUGCAUCCCCGCCAGUGCACAAGCAGUCUUGCUGAGGUGCCUUUCAUAAGGCCAUUCAGGGAUCCAAGAUCAUUUCUUCCUUCCUCUAGAUUCCUCCAUUGAUCUGUUAGAGGAGAAAGAGCCGAGAAGACACACCUGCUUCUGUGCUGGAAGUUACGCUCACCACUUCCACUUUUAUUCCACCAGCAAGAAGUGGUCCCAUUAUCCCUUGCAGAUGCAGGGAGACUGGCUGGGCAGCCCCUUCCAGCACUGACUGCACCCUCCAUAAAGGGGGCAGGGCCUCUGACGAUCAGCAAGAGGUCUCUGCCACAAGGUCUGAUGAUGGGUUGAGGAGGCUCUGAGCUGGGCCUUGGAGGGAAGGAAGGACCUCAUGAGGAAGAGAGGGAGGGACUCUAGGUGGGUGGUGGUGGGCACAGUAUGUGUUAAGGUAAAGAGCUGAUUCAGGCCUGGCUCAGUGGCUCACGCAUGUAAUCCCAGCACUUUGAGAGGCUGAGGCGGGUAGAUCACCUGAAGUCAGGAGUUCAAGACCAGCCUGGCCAACGUGGCGAAACCCUGUCUCUACUAAAAAUACAAAAAUUAGCCAGAUGUCAUGGCAGGCGCCUGUAAUUCCAGCUACUUGGGAGGCUGAGGCACAAGAAUUGCUUGAACCUGGGAGGCGGAGGUUUCGGUAAGUCGAGAUCGCGCCACUGCACUCCAGCCUGGGUUACAGGGCGAGACUCUAUCUCGAAAAAAAAAAAGCUGAUUCAAAGGAGAUCCAGUUGGGGUAGGGUCUGCAUUUGGUGUGAAGAGGUCUAUAAAUUUGGGUAGAAAGAGAAGACCCAAAUAUAGGGGCCCUGUGUGUCUGAGUCAAUCUACCCUUGUCACGUGUUCCCUGGAGUUAACUUGGAACCGUUGUGCAAGACGGGCUCUAUCUGGGUCCCCACCUGUAAAGCAUCAGGGAUGAGGAUGAAUCCCACGAUGUCCAAUGGCAUGGGUAAAAGAAGACCUUUUAUUUAUUUCCGAGGAGGUGGAGUAAGAGAAGGGAAAAUUUACAGGUCCAGCAAGGCUCGGCAAGACAGAGUUGUCAUGUUCCAGAGAAGGGACCCUGGCAUUUAUUUGCAGGGCAAAUAAUGAAAGUAGCCUUAUUAAGGGAAGGACCCACAGACUGCUUGGGGCCAGGCAGUCUGGAUUUAAGUGCUAACUGGUGACAGCUGCCGGAACAAGCCCAGGCCCCGGAGACUCCUGGACCAGGGAAUGCUGCAAUUCCCUGUUAAGCUACUAGUUGUGGGAAGCUGAGCUUGGGGUGGCUCCUCCCACUCAGAGAAGGGGAAUCCUGGAUCCCAAUGAGCUCUCCGUGCAUGCAACCCAGCUCAGAGUCACUUUCGGACAACCCUGCUCCUGGCACAACUGGAACCCGAGGAUUUUGUAAUCUUUUGGUGAGGUGGAGUUCAACACUCUUACAUUUCAGUCAAUAGGAUUCCAUAGGAAAAAUGCCGUGUAUUUUGUGUUUCCUAUGUGCCAAGCAUGUUGUAUUUGCAUCUGGUAGGUGGAACAAGCAGGGUUUGUGGGUUGCGAUCUUAAAGCACCUUUCUUCUGUCUCACGUUUUUCCUAAAUUGUGGUCAGUAGGGGUAGUUGUUCCCUGGCUCAAGAUAGAUAUGUGACCAGUCUCAGACUUUCUUGAUCCCUUUUAGGGUGAAGUCCCAUAGUGACUUCAAGCUGCAAAACACAGUCUUAAUUCUAGAAUGAUGAUGCUCAAUUGUAGGUAACUGUCAAAGAUUCCGAUUAUAUUCAAGUUAUGACAGCUUUCCCUCUGCUGGGAGAAGCCAGGCUGUGGGGAAGAGGAGGUGGCCAGCUUUUCCUUUCUUGCUUGCUCACCUCAGGAAAGUUUUAAGAGUCGCCUCUCCACAGCCCCCAGAGUCACCAGCAACAGCUGGGACAUGCCCCCUCCUCAAGGUCUGAGCCCCAACUCUGCAGAGCCCCUCCUCUGGGCUUCUAGAAUCUGAUAAUCCCAUCUCUUCCUUCUGUUCCGCAGCCCUAGGGCUGCCAGCUGUUUUCCCUGGCUAUGAUUUCUGCAUUACUUCUUUGUUCUCUUAGUGGUUUUUCAAUACUUGCUUAACCAGUUUCCUAUAUUAAAUUCUCUCUGAUGAAUUACCUGUUUUGGAUUCUGUUUUCUUGGCUAGACUGUGUUUAUACAUUGGUUAUUCAACAAUUUCCAACCUACUACAAUUGUAAGGAGAUAUAAAUUAUACUAGAUAUAAUAGCUAACUCUUAUUAUAGAGAAAAUGAUGAAACAUUUGCUUGUGUCAGCCAGGGCCGAAAACAUACUCCUCUCCUUGGGAGAGAGAGAUUUGAAAUAACUGAAGUGCUAUUACCCUCCUCCUCUGUAUUUGCUUUAAACCCAGAGAGUGGUCAAGAUGUCAUUCGUGACCAAACGCCUAUUACACCUUCCAACACUUUGGUAUCUGCAGGAGGAUCUGGGAACAUGGGAGGUGAUGGGGGACUCCGUGCUGGUCCAGAAGGAAAUGAAGGGCAGCCUGAUAUAAAAUGGUGGUGGCCACUGAAUUUGGGUCUAGGUUUUUCUAGGUCUGGCUGGGGCAGGGUGCAUGGCAGAAGAGUUAGAAGUUCCCCUGAGUCUCUUUCAACAUCAGGGGAUUGUGAUGGAGAGGUAUCCAUGCCAGUGAGGGCUCCCGGAGAAGCUAGAGAUAAAGUGUUGCUGAUUCCAGCACUGAUGGGGACUUGAACUCCUAUGUGCUUUCCAUCUCCAAGAGCUUAGAGAAAUGUGGAUCUCCAAGCAAAUACUCAGGAAACCAGCUCUCUUGUUUCCAAGAGAUUCAGGGGAUUCCUAACUUUAAUUUGCUGAAUACUGUCUUUGCAUUUCAUCUUCAUUCUCCUGCUCAUUUUCUUCAUCACUGAUAACUCUUUUAAGAAAAGAUUAAGAAAAGUGGAUCAGGGUCGAGUGCAGUGGCUUAUAUCUAUAAUACCAGCACUUUGGGCUGAGGUGGGUGGAUCACUUGAGGUCAGGAGUUCGAGACAAGCCUGGUCAACAUGGCAAAACCGUGUCUCUACUAAAAAUACAAAAAAUUAGCCGGGCGUAGUGGCGCAUGACUGUAAUCCCAGCUACUCAGGAGACUGAGGCAGGAGAAUUGCUUGAACCCGGGAGGCAGAGGUUGUGGUGAGCCAAGAUUGUGCCACUGCACUCCAGGGUGACAGAGUGAGACUCCAUCUCAAAAAAAUAAAUAAAUAAAUAAAAAUUUAAAAAAAUGUUGGGAUUACAGGUGUGAGCCGCUGUGCCCGGCUCUAAUGCUUCUUAACCUUAACUGACUUUCUUUUAUGUGCUCCACAUUUUUGGUCAGAAGCUUCGGAAAUGUCAUCAGUUUUAGUGCAGUCUUAAACAAAGCUGUGACUUUACCAUAAACCUUAAUCAAAGUUGUAUCAUCUCAUGUCAGCAUCGUGACUCUGGCCCGCAUCCCACUGAGCAACCCCAACUCCUCAUGGGAGUUCAUGGAAGCCACGGCCACCCAGCAUUGCCACAGCAAGAAGGCUCAGGAGGUGCAUAACUGAUCUGCAGAUGAACCCAGCACCUACUCAGGUAUAUGAUCUCUACUGUCUCUCUUUUUUUUUUUUUUUUUUUUUUUCUGGGACAGAGUCUCACUCUGUUGCCCAGGCUGGAGUGUAGUGGUAUAAUCUCAGCUCACCACAACUUCCACCUCCUGGGUUCAAGUGAUUCUCCUGCCUCAGCCUCCCAAGUAGCUGGGACUACAGGCACCCACCAUCAUGCCCAGAUAAUUUUGUGUAUUUUUAGUAGAGACAGGGUUUCACCAUAUUAGCCAGGAUGGUCUCGAUCUCCUGACCUCGUGAUCCACCUGCCUUGGCCUCCCAAAGUGCUGGGAUUACAGGCGUGAGCCACCACGCCUGGCUCUGGCCUGAUAUGUUUUAUUAGCUCCAAUUUAUAUGAGGAAACUGAGGCCGAAGACACGCUAGUCGAGUGUCUGAGACAUAAGUUGUACAUAGGUCUAUUUCCCAUGUCUCUGUGCUUUCUACUGUAACCAUGCUCUUCUCCAGGCUGGCUGGAGCUUUGUGGUCCCGGCAUCAGUGACCCUUUUCUUUGGCCCUGUUUCUCCAUAUGUUAAGAAUAGAGAAUGAUCCCCAUGCCUCCCCAGCUCCCAGUGUGGUACAGAGGAUCAGUUGUUCAGCCCAAACUAUGCUGAGGUCUAUGAGCACCGCUGCCUGUCCUUGCCGGGUGUGUUAGCCUCACUGGGUCACACACUGCCUUGCUUGGCCAGGUCAGCUCUGGGUCCUCGACUCCUUGCAGAGUAGUGGAGAUUCUAUACUGGAAUAAGAGCUGAUCCUCACCAGGCAUGGUGGCUCACGCCUGUAAUCCUAGCACUUUGGGAGGCCGAGGCGGGUGGAUUGCCUGAGCUCGGGAGCUUGAGACCAGCCUGGGGAACACGGUGAAAACCUGUCUCUACUAAAAAUACAAAAAAUUAGACGGGUGUGGUGGCAUGCGUCUGUAAUCUCAGCUGCUCAGGAGGCUGAGGCAGGAGAAUGGCUUGAACCUAGGAGGCAGAGGUUGCAGUGAGCUGAGAUCAUGCUACUGCACUCCAGCCUGGGCGACAGAGCAAGACUCCGUCUGAAAAAAAAAAAAAAAAAAAAAAAGCUGAUCCUGCCUGCAUUUCCACAGUGGAAGCAGAUGGUUUGGGGAAAUCUAAUUUAAAAGGAAAGAAAUCAAAUUAGCUCUCCAGGGGUCUGAUGGCCAAGACUUGAGUGAAGACAAUUACAUUAGAUGCUGAGGCCUCACCAAAGCGGCCUAAAGACUGAAGGUGGGUAGGGUGGAAGCCACCCCGGGGUCCCUUAUCCCUGGGUGGGUUCAAAUCAUGGCUGAAGGGGACAGGAGAGAGCUCAGAUUGGUGGAAUAAAGUCCUUAGACUCUAAUGAUGCCUGGCUUGGGAAUGGUGAACCUGUAGCUGACUCUGCCACUUGACUUUCUAUGGCUCACAGACCCUCUUGGUAACCUCUCUUUCUCAAAAAGCCCCACACACAGUCUUACCUCUUUUGGAGUGUGGUCAAUUUAAGGAGAAUGAUUAAGAAAAACAGCUCUCAUCAGGUGCUGUUUGACAAGAAUGUCAGGGCUAUUUACUCUGAGACACCAAAGCCCCUUGGGGUAUCAAAACUACCAUGUGGGGCUGGCGCAGUGGCUCACGC
rnacentral:lncRNA from 1 species